rnacentral:rRNA from 1 species
AGAGUUUGAUCCUGGCUCAGGAUGAACGCUGGCGGCGUGCCUAAUACAUGCAAGUCGAGCGAACAGACGAGGAGCUUGCUCCUCCGACGUUAGCGGCGGACGGGUGAGUAACACGUGGAUAACCUACCUAUAAGACUGGGAUAACUUCGGGAAACCGGAGCUAAUACCGGAUAAUAUAUUGAACCGCAUGGUUCAAUAGUGAAAGACGGUUUUGCUGUCACUUAUAGAUGGAUCCGCGCCGCAUUAGCUAGUUGGUAAGGUAACGGCUUACCAAGGCAACGAUGCGUAGCCGACCUGAGAGGGUGAUCGGCCACGCUGGAACUGAGACACGGUCCAGACUCCUACGGGAGGCAGCAGAAGGG